AUGAUCAACAAGUACUGCAUCACAGAGAACCCCUCAUGUCUUGAAGACUCUGAAGUCCGCAUGGCCAUCGAGUACUUCCAACAACUCCUUGGAUUUGACUGCACACCCACGGAAGAAGUUCCUACUUUGAAGAUGCUGAUGGCUCUAAAGGCACUGACCAACAUCCGAAGGUUGACAACAGACAGCAAGAUCAGUAUCAUCAACAAGUGCUUUGACAAUCACAACUAGGACAAGAGAACAGAGAUCAGAGUUGCUGCUCUUGAUCUUGUCAGACGUCUGCCGUGCAAACCAGAAUAUCAAACCUAUGCAUUGGCCAUGUACAAGAACCAGCACUUUGACAGUGAGCUUCGCAUUGCAGCCUACCGUGCAAUCAUGACGUGCCCAAGUGAGAACAUCAUGGAUGCU